rnacentral:rRNA from 1 species
GACGAACGCUGGCGGCGUGCUUAACACAUGCAAGUCGAACGGAAAGGCCCUGCUUUUGUGGGGUGCUCGAUUGGCGAGCGGGUGUGUAACACGUGAGUAACCUGCCCUUGACUUUGGGAUAACUUCAGGAAACUGGGGAUAAUACCGGGUAGAAGCUCCUGCUGCAUGGUGGGGAUUGGAAAGUUUCGGCGGUUGGGGAUGUACUCGCGGCUUAUCAGCUUGUUGGUGGGGUAGUUGCUGACCAAGGCUUUGACGGGUAGCCGGCAUGGGAGGGUGACCGGCCACAUGGGGACUGAGAGACGGCCCAGACUCCAACGGGAGGCAGCAGUGGGGAAUAUUACACAAUGGGCGGAAGCCUGAGGCAGAAACGCUGCGUGCGUGAUGCCGGCCUUCGGGGUGUAAACCGCUGUCGCCUGUGACGAAGCGUGAGUGACGGUAAUGGGUAAAGAAGCACCGGCUAACUACGUG